rnacentral:lncRNA from 1 species
ACAACCACCAGCGACAUCAAUCUCUCGCUUCCUGCUCCACUUCUCGGCGCCCACAUCUCCAACUGGCUCAGGCUCCCCAUGUCCCCAGCCGGUACGGAGCUGCGGUCAGCGGAUUGUGCGGCUGAGCCAUCCUCGUGACGGUCCCGCCUCACUCACCCUCCGUCACCUCCAGCACCUUAAUCUGUUCUUCAGCAGCCGCCCGCACCUCCUGUACUGGGGAUAGGAUCCCGGUGAGCGUAUCCACUAACGCUUCCUUUAAUCCUUGUGCCACUGGACCCGGCAGCCCGGAGGCCGCACCAGCUGCCGCCGCCGCCGCCAUCUUUUCUCCCCUCAGCCCGCCAGCCCCGCGGCCGGGACCCGCCACCGAAUGACGGCCCCCGCGCGCGGCCAAUCCGCGAAGCCGCGCCUGCGCACCAGAGGCGGGCGGGAGCGGGCGGAGGGCGGGGAAUGAAUCUAAGCCUCCAGAGACAGCGCCUCCUGCUGCCUGAACGAGAACUGCACCUUUCUCUGCAAGGAUCUCUGGAUUUGUGUGAAAACUGAGCCCCAGACAGGUUAAGGGGCUUUCCUAAAGUUGCACAUCUCCAUCAUACAGAACCCUGUCAUCCAUGGGAGCUUACCACGUGGAUGCAGAAGCUUUUGUGAGGGGCAGCCCGGACCAUCUUUUGGACUUAAUAUACCGAUAUGAAGAUUCAGAUGCAUCUACUCCUCGGUUGGGUGGAAGAGUGAUCCAGGUUGGCAGCCGUCUUGUUGAUGUCCCCUAUGUCAUCCAGAGGGCAGGAGCGGGCAGCUCUCUACCUUGGCAACUGGUUCCUCUCUCUCCAGCUUCAUCUUUUCCAUUGUUUUUUGUUUGUUUGCUUGUUUUUGUUUUUCAUUUUUACCUUUUACAGAUUGAUUUAAACAUUUUUUAAACCACAUGCUUCUUUUUCUGGGCUCCAGCCAGAUCUCUGGGGGAGGAGUUGUUGGCAGUGGUGAUGGAAUUGGGAAGGGUCUGUGAGAAAAUCUGAGGAGCUUCCUGCCUCCCCCAGAUCUCCCUCACAAGACUGUCUCUCUCAGGGUUGCUUGUGAGAAUCAUUUAGGAACUGCUGCAGUGUUUUGAUGUUUUCUGAACCCCUCCCCAGAAAGCCCAGGAGUUUGUAAUUGAAACAAGAAGUCAAGGGAAAGACCCA